UACGUAGGGUGCGAGCGUUAAUCGGAAUUACUGGGCGUAAAGCGUGCGCAGGCGGUUCGUUGUGUCGGCGGUGAAAGCCCCGGGCUCAACCCGGGAAUGGCCGUUGAAACUGGCGAACUGGAGUGUGGCAGAGGGGGGUGGAAUUCCGCGUGUAGCAGUGAAAUGCGUAGAGAUGCGGAGGAACACCGAUGGCGAAGGCAGCCCCCUGGGCUGACACUGACGCUCAGGCACGAAAGCGUGGGGGGCAAACAGG
rnacentral:rRNA from 1 species